rnacentral:misc_RNA from 1 species
AAACCUCCCAAGCCUGAAACUCCAACAUCAAAGGAACAUGUUGAGUUAUGGCUUACAUUUAUUAGAGGAAAAUUUAUGGUUCACUAAAGCUCCUAGCAAAAGGGAGAAGCUCGGCGACGAUUACGCGUGGACGUAUUGUUAGAGAAAAAUUUAUGGUUCACUUGCCAAACUAUAUGCAAUUGUGUUCAUUUUUUCCUCUAUUUUCUAAUUUUUUAGUGUGUUCAAG